AUUGAACGCUGGCGGCAUGCCUUACACAUGCAAGUCGAACGGCAGCACGGGUGCUUGCACCUGGUGGCGAGUGGCGAACGGGUGAGUAAUACAUCGGAACGUACCUUAUCGUGGGGGAUAACGCAGCGAAAGCUGUGCGAAUACCGCAUACGCCCUGAGGGGGAAAGCGGGGGAGCGCAAGACCUCGCGCGAUUAGAGCGGCCGAUGCCUGAGUAGCUAGUUGGUGGGGUAAAAGCCCACCAAGGCGACGAUCAGUAGCUGGUCUGAGAGGACGAUCAGCCACACUGGGACUGAGACACGGCCCAGACUCCUACGGGAGGCAGCAGUGGGGAAUUUUGGACAAUGGGGGCAACCCUGAUCCAGCAAUGCCGCGUGAGUGAAGAAGGCCUUCGGGUUGUAAAGCUCUUUUGUCAGGGAAGAAACACCGGCUCUAACACAGUCCGGGAAUGACGGUACCUGAAGAAUAAGCACCGGCUAACUACGUGCCAGCAGCCGCAGUAA
rnacentral:rRNA from 1 species